UGCCAUCAUACAUUUAGUACAUCGCGUAUACUUACUUCGAGAAGGUUGAUUGCCGCGACAAGCUUCGUCUACUUCUGUCCCGGUAGCCGAUAUCUCUAAGAAAAUGUAAGAGAAAGAUACACCUGUUUUCGUGAGAUCUAAGGAGGAGAAAGAUCGUAAGAUCUUACGAUCGUUAUUUAUACGUGGCAAGAGAUCACAGAGGUCACUCGAGCGAGUCUACGAUCUUGAGAAAAGAGACGAGAAAAUAUUUCGAAAGUGAAAAUAUUCUUAGUC